GAUGAACGCUGGCGGCGUGCCUAAUACAUGCAAGUCGAGCGAACAGACGAGGAGCUUGCUCCUUUGACGUUAGCGGCGGACGGGUGAGUAACACGUAGGUAACCUACCUAUAAGACUGGGAUAACUUCGGGAAACCGGAGCUAAUACCGGAUAAUAUUUCGAACCGCAUGGUUCGAUAGUGAAAGAUGGCUUUGCUAUCACUUAUAGAUGGACCUGCGCCGGAUUAGCUAGUUGGUAAGGUAACGGCUUAACAAGGCAACGAUACGUAGCCGACCUGAGAGGGUGAUCGGCCACACUGGAACUGAGACACGGUCCAGACUCCUACGGGAGGCAGCAGUAGGGAAUCUUCCGCAAUGGGCGAAAGCCUGACGGAGCAACGCCGCGUGAGUGAUGAAGGUCUUCGGAUCGUAAAACUCUGUUAUUAGGGAAGAACAAACGUGUAAGUAACUGUGCACGUCUUGACGGUACCUAAUCAGAAAGCCACGGCUAACUACGUG
rnacentral:rRNA from 1 species